rnacentral:tRNA from 1 species
UGGGUUGUGGCUCAGCGGUAGAGUGCUCACCUAGCAUGUGCAAGGCCUUGGGUUUGAUCCUCAGCACCACAU